rnacentral:rRNA from 1 species
GACGAACGCUGGCGGCGUGCCUAAUACAUGCAAGUCGAGCGGGCCUCCGGAGGUGCUUGCACCUCCGGAAGGCCAGCGGCGGACGGGUGAGUAACACGUGGGCAACCUGCCUUUGAGGCCGGGAUAACACCGGGAAACCGGUGCUAAUACCGAAUACGUCCUCUUUCGCGCCUGCGAGAGGGGAGAAAGACGGUCUUUAAGGCCGUCGCUCAAAGAGGGGCCCGCGGCGCAUUAGCUGGUUGGUGGGGUAAGGGCCUACCAAGGCGACGAUGCGUUGCCGACCGGAGAGGGUGAUCGGCCACACUGGGACUGAGACACGGCCCAGACUCCUGCGGGAGGCAGCAGUAGGGAAUCAUCCGCAAUGGGCGAAAGCCUGACGGUGCAACGCCGCGUGAGUGAGGAAGGUUUUCGGAUCGUAAAGCUCUGUUGUGAGGGAAGAACAGCUUCCGGAGGAAAUGCCGGAGGUUUGCCGGUACCUCACCAGAAAGCCCCGGCUAACUACGUGCCAGCCGCCGCGGUAAAAC